UGAGCAAUCUGCCCUUCACUCGGGGAUAAGCCUCGGAAACGAGGUCUAAUACCCGAUACGACCAGCCUUCGCAUGAGGUGCUGGUGGAAAGUUUUGUCGGUGGAGGAUGUGCUCGCGGCCUAUCAGCUUGUUGGUGGGGUAAUGGCCUACCAAGGCUUCGACGGGUAGCCGGCCUGAGAGGGCGACCGGCCACACUGGGACUGAGACACGGCCCAGACUCCUACGGGA
rnacentral:rRNA from 1 species